rnacentral:rRNA from 1 species
AUUGAACGCUGGCGGCAUGCUUUACACAUGCGAGUCGAACGGCAGCGCGGGCUUCGGCCUGGCGGCGAGUGGCGAACGGGUGAGUAAUACAUCGGAACGUGCCCAGUAGUGGGGGAUAGCUCGGCGAAAGCCGGAUUAAUACCGCAUACGACCUGAGGGUGAAAGCGGGGGAUCUUCGGACCUCGCGCUAUUGGAGCGGCCGAUGGCAGAUUAGCUAGUUGGUGGGGUAAAGGCCUACCAAGGCGACGAUCUGUAGCUGGUCUGAGAGGACGACCAGCCACACUGGGACUGAGACACGGCCCAGACUCCUACGGGAGGCAGCAGUGGGGAAUGUUGGACAAUGGGCGAAAGCCUGAUCCAGCAAUGCCGCGUGUGUGAUGAAGGCCUUCGGGUUGUAAAGCACUUUUGGCGGGAACGAAAAGGACUGUGCCAAUACCACGGUUCGAUGACGGUACCCGCAGAAUAAGCACCGGCUAACUACGUG